AAUUAUCUAUACUAGACCUUCUCAAAGCGCCGUUGACCAGCCCCGCCGCUUACAUCCCCUCUGUCCUGCCGCUCACAUUCACCUCUCUCUCAACGCCGGUCGCCGCCUAGAUGUGUCACCUGACUUGCCUCCGUCCUCCUCCACUCUCGUCUCAGAUUUAACCCCAAAGUCCAGCGGCAGGCAGCAAUAGCAGGUUCCCGUGCCGCCAUGAGCUGGAUGGGGAAGCGGGAGUGGGUGGGGAGAGCCUGCACUGGCGGAGAAGACGGACGAGGACUGGCGGCUCGGCGGCCCCGUAGCUACCUCCACUACCUCGUCGCCGCGUCCAGUCCGACCCUGCCUCCUGCAAGCACGGCGACUUCUUCGACAUCGUCUGGGCGGCCCACGACCUAAGCAUGCUAAUCUCUUCAGUCUCCUGAUCCUCUUUGAAAGCAAACACGUCCUCAUUCUCCAAACCAAUCUAGCUCGAGGGGUGCCCGGUGUCCCUCUGCUUCCACUCCGACGGGUGGUCAGGAGUUCCUCUGCUUCCUUUGCAAUGGCCGAUCAAUCGGCACACGGCGAUCACAGUGGGGCGCCACGUGGCGUUUCAAGUGUGACCCAUCGGAGCAAGAGAAGGCAGAUGGUGUUUUGGAGGAGAACUUAACUAGGAAAGUGAAGUAGAUGCUGCAUGAGGAAAAGGUGGCAGCCAUCAAAAGAUUAAAGAAGGGACAAUUGCCUACAUAACAGAAGUGGAUGAGGAUGGUAAUCGCUGGCCAACUAAGGAAGCUUUAAUUUCUGCAAAGAGAGUUGACUUUGGUACCCACGUUGGUUGGUGUCUGCAAUGUGAGUAGUGGAGUAGUGCUGAAUUUAGUGGGUUAUCUUUAACCAACAAGAGGAACAGACUUGCUAAUGGGGACAUGGUCUUCCAUUGCAGUAGUGUGAGAAAUGUUGUCGCCACAUUUCAAUUUCCGGUAGGGUUGUGCUGACAUGUGAUGUUUAUAGUCUUUGGCUGAGAAAGGAGGAGUCGACUUUGAUGGCAUAAUGCAAUCAACAGCAGAUGACUUGUCCCCAUCAUAUUCUGAAGGCGGAUUUCAAAGGGGACAAGGUGAUGUGCCUCAACACCAAACCGAAAAGGGAAUUGGAAGCAGGACUGGAGGCAGUAUCAGUCAUGGGAAUGAUGAUGAGGAUGACUACUACGGCAAUGAGGGAUAUGAUAACUAUGGCGAGGGUGGUCUGUAUGGUGAUGAGCAGUAUGAUAACUACGCGAUGCGGAAUAUAAAGACUAUCGAGAUGAGGGAUAUAAUGACUAUGGCGAUGGUGAUGAUGAUUGGCUAUAGAAGCCUAAUGAUCUUCAAGUCAUGCCAAAAUGAAGUUAUGUUAGAUAUUUGAAACACUUUAUCUUAUGGACAAAUUUGUCUUAGUGGACAAUUUAUCUUGUGCAAAAUGUGACCUAUCUCAGUUACUAUUUUGUUCUAAAUUUGACAUUUGAUAAUUAUGGUUAAUGCAAUGGAUGCAACUCAA